rnacentral:rRNA from 1 species
GUGCCAGCAGCCGCGGUAAUACGGAGGGUGCAAGCGUUAAUCGGAAUUACUGGGCGUAAAGCGCGCGUAGGUGGUUUGAUAAGCGAGAUGUGAAAGCCCCGGGCUUAACCUGGGAACGGCAUUUCGAACUGUCAGGCUAGAGUGUGGUAGAGGGUAGUGGAAUUUCCUGUGUAGCGGUGAAAUGCGUAGAUAUAGGAAGGAACACCAGUGGCGAAGGCGGCUACCUGGACCAACACUGACACUGAGGUGCGAAAGCGUGGGGGAGCAAACAGGAUUAGAUACCCUGGUAGUCC